CUCUUCCUCACAUGCCCCAUUUCUGGGUUGUCCAUCCCAACCAACAGUUACUGCUGGAGCUGAAUCCACUAGCCCGCUUCCAUGGGCUGUCAGGAACACAUUGCAAGGGUGACACACACGAUGAUCCAUCUCUGCAGAGCCAACUCUCCUUCUCCAGAGAUUCAUCCAAGAAACAAUUUUGACUAUACCUGAGCUCUGUGACAUCUGAGGACAUGGUUUGUAUUACUGUGCAAGACA